GUUAUCCUUUUUUAGUGCUUUGGUUUCUUGUUCUUCAUCUUUAUCAUCAAUGGCUUUUUCUUUUUCAUCGUAUAUUUGAUCUUUGGGGAACGUGUAAAUCAUGCACCGAUUGAACCUGUUGCUUUGGACCUCCAUCUGACACUAUUCCGUGCUUGCUGUGCAUCAUUAAUGCAUUUGCAUCUGGCUGAGCUAUGAGGAAUUUCCAGGUUAUCAAGAUAAGGAAGAUUAAAGCUGCUACGAAUAAAGGUCUUGUGGGACUUCGAUAGCAAAACCGACUGACGAUUGUCACAACAGACGCCAUGUUGGAAGGUCGACUAUGUGGCACACGGUUAGAGCAGAACCUGGCACCAAGUGACACAGGAAGCCCAAAGUAAAACCUAACUUCAUAGCUGGCUGGUCUGGGAUUUUCUAAUUUCUCAGCCUUCAUUUUCUAUGCAUUGAAAGAGCUAGCCCGUACCGCUCGGAACGAGUUACAUCUUGGAUUAAAAAACAAUAGAUUGGUCAUCAAAACAAUAGCACUAAACCUAACCUUAUGAAAGCGGUACUUUACUUAGGGAGCAAUGAAAAUCCAGCAUUCGAGCGGUACUGGAUUACUCUAACUAAAAUUCGAGUUCUUUAACAUAGAACUACCUUUUGAGUAUUUACUGCAGUUUUCCAUAUUGAUUGACUGCAGCGAAAAAUUAGAUUGUAGUGCGCAGCUUGUAUUUAUCAAGUUCACAGAAUAUCAAAAACCGCAGUAAAUGUAGGUGGUGUGUAUGAAAAAGUAUAUCAAGCAUGUACUAGCCUCCUGUGCAGCCGCAGUGAGGCAUUUCUGGUUCCCCCACAACAAGCUAGCUUGCAUGUGAUCUGUUAAAAAAUAUCUUGCAACUUGUGCACUGUUGGGAAAAAAUAUCAAGCACUCAGAAAAUUUGUGCCCCCCCAAAAAAUUAAAUGUUCCAUCCCUAA